rnacentral:rRNA from 1 species
GACGUAGGUGGCAAGCGUUGUCCGGAGUUACUGGGCGUAAAGCGCACGCAGGCGGUUCGCCAAGUUUGGAGUGACAGUUGUCGGCUCAACCGACAAAGGACUUCAAAAACUGGUGAACUUGAGGACGAGAGAGGAACAUGGAACUCCAGGUGUAGUAGUGAAAUGCGUAGAUAUCUGGAAGAACACCAAUGGCGAAGGCAAUGUUCUGGCUCGUUUCUGACGCUCAGGUGCGAAAGCCAGGGGAGCGAACGGG